rnacentral:misc_RNA from 1 species
AAGUCGUAACAAGGUUUCCGUAGGUGAACCUGCGGAAGGAUCAUUAAUGAAUUUUAGGACGUUCUUUUUAGAAGUCCGACCCUUUCAUUUUCUUACACUGUGCACACACUUCUUUUUUACACACACUUUUAACACAUUAGUAUAAGAAUGUAAUAGUCUCUUAAUUGAGCAUAAACAAAAUUAAAACUUUCAGCAACGGAUCUCUUGGCUCUC